rnacentral:rRNA from 1 species
AUUAGAUACCCUAUUAUAUUUAAACAAAUUGGGUAGUAUUAUUAAUAAAAACCUUUAUACUUUGGCGGCAUUUUAUCUUAUUAGAGGAAUAUGUUCAUUAAUCGAAACCACACGAUAGUUUUUACUUACUAUAAAAUUUUAUAUACCCCCGUCUAAAGAAUUUAUUUAAAAUUUUUAUUCCAAAUUAUAUUAAAAAAAGUUAGGUAAAGGUGUAGACUAUUAGUAAGAUUAAAUGUAUUACAUUAAAAAAAAUUUAAGGAUAAAACAGUUAACUGUUUAUUAAAAGAGGAUUUAUAAGUAAUUUACUUUUAAUAAAAAUUAAUGAAUAAGAAAAUAAAUGUGCACAUAUCGCCCGUCACUCUCAC